CGGGUUUCUUGCCCUUCGUUCAUUUGCUCUCAUAUCACAGUGAAUCGGUUCCUCAUUCUCUAGGUAAUUUCUCUCGCUAUUCUGUAGUGCCUCCUCUGUGGUAUUCUGGGUUUUUGUGUUCUUUGUUUUCUGUAUGUGCUUGAACUCGAUCUUCUGGAAAUAUGGUUUCUUGCACUGGAUAUCCCUGAUAAUUGUUCCAAUAAUUGAGUAGUCGGUUGCAGUUGAAUGAUAUUUCUUGAUUACUGUUAGUGAAUCGCCCAUUAUUUGUAUUUCCUGUAAACCUAUUUCGAUAUCUAACUUGACUGCUUCUAACCAUGCAAAUGCUUCCGCGGCAAACGGAGAAGCAACAUUGCGAUGAAUAAUAGAUUUCAAAGCCAAAACCUCGUUCAUCAGACCCCUAACCACCAACCUCGACACUGGUAUGAACUUUCUAUUGUUGAACGUAGCAUCAAACUGGAUCUUCACGAUCAGUAAGUCUUCCACAUUUCUUUGAUUUUGCACCGUAUGUGAUAAAGUUUUCUUAACUUUAAUCCCUUUGUAUUCUGCCAUGUGGUUCUGAAUUUUCCGUGCGAGGUCUCUACCCGUUGUGUGUACCCGUUCAUGCAGAAGUUGAUUCCUUGAAUGCCAAAGUAUCCAUAAGCCAUAAUAAAAAUAUCUGCAUUGUUCGUUUGUUCCUUGUUUGAAAACCACAGUGAGCCACUCCCAGAAAUUUUGAUGCACGAAAGUUGUAACCCAAGAAAGGUUUAAUAGCUGCCAGACCUCUAUGCUUGUGGAACAUUGUCGGAAAAUAUGAUGACAGUCUUCAUCUUCAUAACCGUACCUAGGGCAUCUGACAUUUGUCACUAAUCUUCUAUGUCGGAGAUUUCUCAAAGUAGGAAUGUAAUUCCAUGACAUGCACCAGAUUAUGAUUGUGAUCUUAGACGGUAGUUGUAGUUUCCAUAGUUUUCUGAAAAAUUCCUUGGUUUCGGUCUGUAACAAAUAAUGACUAGGAUUCAGAUUAGCAAUUUGUAAUAGUUUAUAGGCGCUACGAACUGAGUAUUCCCCUGUUGGUUCGCCCCUCCAGACUUGGAAGUCCUCGUGCACUGAUUCCGAUAGUGGGAUCUAUAGGAUUGUGCGAGCAACCUUCGGGUGAAAGGUAUUGUUGAUCAGCUCUUCCUUCCAUUUCCUAGUCGUACUAUCAAUAAGAUCCAAAACAAAUUCUAGUUGCAUACUAUCUGACCUGUUGUGCCUUUCCAAUAUUCCAUUCCUUGGACCCAUCGAUCAUUCUAG
rnacentral:lncRNA from 1 species